AAUUAAUAAAAUCCUGAAACUAAAUAACUCAUAAUUCAUUGCACAACAUAUAUUAGGUUUCAUUAGAUCAGUAUAUAGCUUAGUAGUAAACUCUCCUGAUGGCCAUAAACCUCUAAGGUGUUGUCAUCCUGAAAAAUGAAGGAGGGGAGGGAGCUGGUGGGGUGCAGAAUGGAGAAACCUUCCAUAGUGCUGGUGUGAUGUACCCUAAGUUGUAAAGUUAUAGGGCAUCGCCACCUAGUGGCAGAAUUUCAUGCCUUGUUCUAAUUAAGGGACUUUCCUUGUUUUCCAAAGAGCAAUGUGUCUUGUUCACUUUCUAACCAUCCCUCUCUGAUGCUGUCCUUCCUAAAAUCCAUGCCUCCUCCCAUACAGUGUAAACCCAUCUGCUUUUCAUCCAUCAAGCUGUCAAGGAUUUGGUUAUGACAAUUUUUAUGUUCACCUAACUUUUUAGUUCCAAGUACUUCGGUUAUUUUCAAAGCUACACACAGGAUGCCCAUAUUUUUAUAACUCCAUCUUAUUUGUGAAGGAUUAUUACUUUGUGCUUUGGCCUAGUUUUUAUUCUUACUGCUGAAUCUUUUCAUAAGUUAAAGUUAUUGCAGAGUUAAUGCUUUAAAAGGCAGUCCUUAGAGUAAAUAGCUAAAUGAAAUCAUUACCAAA
rnacentral:lncRNA from 1 species